AUCUCUGCUUAAGAAGCUUAUGUGGACACACAGGGAGCUCACCAAGCAAAGGUGCUUACUGAAGAAAACCAGGGAGAUGUGGGACUCAUUCAGCUGCUAAAGUAAAGCAGAGUAAAGGUGGUGUGGGACAAGGUUUGAGCUCCAGAGGGCUCAGAAAGUUCUUGGUGGGGGGAGGCUCCCAGAAGGGCCGGGAGACUGUGUGGAGGAGGACAGGAUGGCACCUACUGACUGACAAGUCUGAGAAGGUGGACGGCUCUGUUGUGAUUCAGCCUCUGUUUUCUCGGCCAGGGAGCUUGAGCAACCUUUACUCUCUGGAGGACAGAACCAAAGUGACUCACUGGGCUGAGCCCCAGACAAGUGAGGAGAUAGGAAGAGGGCCCUGAGAGAAGCUGAGGCCUGCUGCCCCCCCCCCCCCACCCCAGCCAGCUCUUCCCUUGUGGCUCCCCAGAGCAGGAGAGCAGGGUGGACAACGGCUAACAAAGGGAAUGGCUCCCCUGCCAGAGCAGAGCCUUGGUUUCCCUGACGCAGCCCAGAGAACGUGCUGGCGGCUCAUCAGCCCUCGCAGAGGCUUUUGGGGCUGUUCCUCUCCCUGCUGGGUCUGCCCCAAAUCCCUCAAACAGACCAUCCGGUGGGAUCUGCCGAGUUCUUCCACAGCCCUGAGAGGUCCUCGGCCAGGUCGUGCCCCCCCAGUGACCCCCCCGGCUUGAAGGAAGUGGGGGGCAGAGGAGGGGGCCGAGCCCCCAUCUGGGUCAUUUGAAGGGCUCCAGGAAGUAGAAGGGCCUCCCGGGGACAGGAAGAGGGCAAAAGGGGUCCCGAACUCGGCUUGCUUGACUCUGGCUCCUGGAGGGAGUCCAGGGUGGGGGGAGGGGGAGCUGCGGAGCUCUUGGGAGGGAGGCCUGGAGGUCACUGGGGGGAGGCCGGGAACUCCAGAGGGCAGGGUUGAAGUUUAAUAGGGAGCCGCGGGAGGCCUUCUCCUUGGGUUCAAAGGACAGGCUGGGGGGGUCCCCGGUUUAUUUAGUUUCAGUGUAGAAACCCCCGGCUUGGGCCUUGUCACGGGAGAGGCUCCCCCUGAGGGAGGGUCUCCCUUCCCUUCCGCAGACAAGGGGCUUCCUGGCAGUUUGGGUGGGAGCAGCUCAGCCCACCCAAUGUGGAGCAACCCUCUUGUCCCGAUGGCUCCCCCCAGGCUAAGGUCCUCCUUUUCCUUUCUUACCAUUGUGGAGUCAGUCAACUGUCCCUCCCUCUGGCUCCAGGCCCCCAGGCCGUCUAGAGGCUCCCGAGCCCACUGGCAGGGGUCAGUGUUGGGCGUGCGCACUUGGUGCAGUCCCUGUUGUGGCAUUAGCAGCGCUGAACCCCUUUUCCCUCGAUUAAGGAGGGAUUUGGGCCAUUUCAUAGGUCUGCGCUUUUUCUAGUUGACAGAAUGGAGGCCCCACCGAGACCCGACGUCCGGCGGCCUGAGCCCUCCUGCUGACGAGGACCCCAGGCGUGAGGUGCCCACACAGCCCGCUUGGCUCUCGGAGGCAGGACUCGCUCUGAUGGGGGGACCCUUGGCCACCCGGCGCUGUUGGACGUGGGCGACAGCUUGUCUGGUGGGGCCGUCGGCAGCCCGAAGGACCACCUCGUGACGGGCUGUUUGGAGGUUUGAGGAGAUGAGAAGGCGGCCGAGUCCGGCCCCGACGCGUAUCGGGCAGCACGGAGUCUGGUUCGACCUGGCCACCAUCUUGGAGCUUACUUGGAUUGUGGGUGCCUGUGUGAGGGCGGGAGGGCAGGUCAGAGGCAUGAAAGGUCGGCUGAACGCUUCGAAUGGGAAGUUGGAGCUGGCGUGUGGGAGCCACAGCGUCCACUUGAGGGUCUGAGUAACUGCUUUAAGUGGACUAAAAGAGAGGAAGCUUCUUUGUGGAUGGAGAUGCCUUGGCUUGAGGUUUAAAUGGUGAUGAAGUUUUGGGGGGAAAACAGCCUCUCAUAGAAGCUUAAGAACUUCAGUGCUGGGUCUCUUCACAUUUUUUCUGUGCGCUUUUGCUUGUAUUGUCUGUCUGCUGGAGACUUCGCUCAUAACCUCAAAUGCUGGUGAUUUAGACGUUAGCCAAUAAUGCCUGGAAGUUGUUCCCAAUGAAUUCCUCCCCAAAGUGAACAGGCGAGCCUGGAGAGACGGGAAUAACCGCCAGGAGGCAAAAGGAGGGCCAGAAAUUCUGAACUUGAAGGCCUCACUUUUCUUCCCAAAGUUCUGGUCUGGUUCAUGUGUGAAAUAUUGUGUCUCAGGCGCAGUUAACAUUGGUGACGAGGCGCGGUUUGUUCUAGGUUCUAACCUGGUUAUUUGGGGGCUCCAAUUUCUUAGGAGCCCAAAGCCUGGACCACACUGUUGCGCAGCCUCGAACCAGGAGGAUUCCUGAAGAGGAAUCUGUGGGAAAUCCGAGGGAGCCCCGAGGUGCUGGAUCCGGAUGAGGGUCGUUCCUCAUCAUCCCCACUGCCUAGAAGUGUUUCUGGAGCAGACCUGAAGCUGGCCAUUUGGCUUCCCCUGAGCCAAGUCCCUUUGAGUAGAGAGCCUGGAAGGGACCGAGCUAGUCCCCAGACCCCGGCGGAGUGGGGAAGUUCCAAUAGGUGCGUUGUCCCGGGUUAAGAGGCUCGGAGGGCACAUGUGUCCAUUGGAGAAGCCGCAGCAGAUGCCAGAGUGCUGGGUUGUCUCAAGGAAGCAUCAGAAGAACUUGGGAAGAGAUGGCGGAGCCAGAACUGGCUGUUAGUGAGUGACACAAGAUAAACACUUCAGUCUGGAGCCUGGUUCGAGAACUGCCAUCGAAGGGUGAAUUGUACGGGAAGGUGAUGGGGAAAGCCAAGCGAUGCAGGAAGUUGGUUACUGACACAGUCACAAGGGCGAGUGGAAGGGCGGAGCUAAUGCCAAGUUCUGCGGGAGGGAGACGCCGAUUCUCCCCCAUCUGACGUGACUUCCCGCUUCGCUUCUGUUAAUUUUCCGUGUGGUGCUCGGAGCACAGACUAUGGGAAUUGUGGGGGCAGAUAGAGCAGCAAAUCAAGGAGGUCCCUUUUCUUAAAAGGAGGGUUUAGGUCAUGAGGAAAAGCUGGCAAAACAUCAGGGCCCAAAGGGGGAGGCCAGCACAUGAAGAGCAGAUUCUCGGCAGCAGUUUUAAUAAACAAGCUUGUGCUAGAACACUGAAUGGCUCCCCAGUACCCGUCAAGUUUGUACACUCUGGAGCCUCGAGGCAGGAAACGGGGGAUAAGAAGAGCAGCCUCGUGACCGGGAAAGCCACUCCAGUCACCUAUAGAUUUCGGCCGAAGCUCAAUGCAGCAGCCCGAGGAAGCCUGAGGAAGCCGGCUGACACCAGAGCAGGCGGAGGCCGAAGGCAUCAUCAGGACCCAGCAGACGGGACGACUCGAGACUUUGGGGAAUGGGCUCGUGUUGGAUGGUCAGUUACUCUGCCAAAGGCACACUGCCGGCCUUCCUGGCUCCAAUGUCAGUGCGCCGGAGCCAUUGGGGAGGCCCCCAAAGGCCACUUCCCCAAAGCGGUAUCCCCGAGCUUGCCCACCAUUAGGGAUGGAGUCCAAUCCCAUAUAGCGUUACCCAUUUGUCCAUUUGGUUGGUCGGCGACGGCCGGUCUGGACCAAAAGGGGGGAGGGGUGUCAGCAUGGGAUCGAGGAACCCCAGUCUGUUUGGUUUCAGCGUAGAAACCCCCGGCUUGGGCCUUGUCACAGGAGAGGCUCCCCCAGAGGGAGGGUCUCCCUUCCACAGACAGUGAACUUCCUGGCAGUUUGGGUGGGAGCAGCUCAGCCCACCCAAUGUGGAGCAUCCCUUUUGUCCCGAUGGCUUCCCCCCAGGCUAAGGUCCAGGACCAGACUGGGCAGUCUUUCCCUUUUGUGUCCACAGUAGGGCAUCAGCCCCUCCCGUUAUUCCAGUCUGGAGCUCCUCCUUUUCCUCACUUACCUUGUAAAGUCAGUCAACUGUUCCUCUAAUCCUAACCGCCCCAGGCCGUCUAGAGGCUCCCCAAGUUCUUCUGUUCCCCAGAGUCCCCCCUGAGUCAGUGGCACUCCCAGGGGUCAGUGACCAGGGCAUCAUGGGAAGUCAUGGGAAGCAGCUCUGCUGUCGCAUUAGUAGCGCUGACCCCUUUUCCCUGAAUUAAAGACUGAUUUGGACCAUUU